rnacentral:rRNA from 1 species
GCGGUACCGUCAGUGCUCGAAAAUAUUACCUCCGAACAUAUUCUUCCCGCCUGACAGAGUUUUACGACCCGAAGGCCUUCAUCACUCACGCGGCGUUGCUGCGUCAGGGUUACCCCCAUUGCGCAAAAUUCCU